CGUCUACCGUUUCACGUGAUGUGCUGGACGUGUUCGUCAUCGUGACUCGCGCUCACCUGUAUAUCCUUGACUGACAUUUCAAACGUUACUCCAACGAUGGUGCUGCGUUCUCUGGAUAAACCGGAAGUCUCAUCGGUAACAGGCUGCCUUAACAAGCGUCUCAACUGCAGAGGGUUCGUGGAGCAAAUAUUUGCUAGAAAGUGGUGAAAAUCUCUUAAUCCAUCUGAUAAUCGUAAUGUGAACUGAGUGCUGCACUCCAAAAAAUUUUAUAUAUGGUGCAAUCAUGGGAUUGACUCACUUAAUAUUGUAUGGUAUUUAUUGUAAGAUAAAUAACAAAGAAAAAAAAGAAUCAGUUUUUUAAGAAUGUAAUAUUUCCCCAGACAUGUCUGGUGGUGUAGUUUUCAUUCAGUGUAGAUAUGUAAACAUAACAUAUUGACAUGUUUUGUCGACACACCACUGUGUAAUUGCAACGAAAAGUGCACAAUCUUUACUAUUGUGGUGAGACAUUUUAUGUUUAUGUCUGAAAUUCAUUGAAAAUAAUAUGUCUUGUUAUUAAGGAGUGCAAAUGAUAAAAUAAUUGCAUUAGAAAAGUAAUUUAGUCAGAUCAAGAGUUUUUUUAUAAUUUUGCAGUUGCUUUUUUAUUAUAAUUAUUGGCUAUGUGAUUCUGCCAUGUAACUGUUUAGUGGAUGCUUUUGUCAGAUUUUUAAGCAAACAUUAGCUGUGAUGUUGACUGUGUGCUUUUUUGGUUUAACUUCUCACAUUUAUUAUUAUGCUGAUAAUCUAGCGUAUGAUAAAAGUGCAGCUUAUAAAUUAUAUUUUAUUGUAGUCUUGACACACACACACACCUGUUCAACUGCCAGUCAUUUAAUGCAUAUUGCAUAUUUGCAUAUUAUUCGAAUAUUAGCCAUUUAUUAGUGCUAAUUAAGCACAUAUUAGUGCCUUAUUCUACAUCCCUAAUCCUACACAAUACCUAAACUUACCUUGCUAAUUCUUAAUUAAGCAGCAAAUUAAGGAUUUAUUAUGUAUUCUAAAGUGUCGCCAAAGAUUUUAUCAAAUCAAAUAAUAAUUGUGAUGGCGAACUCCUUGUGCAGAUAUCA